UGGCGGAAUGCUUUACACAUGCAAGUCGAGCGGCAGCGCGGGGGCNACCCUGGUGGCGAGCGGCGAACGGGUGAGUAAUGUAUCGGAACGUACCCUGUCGUGGGGGAUAACACAGCGAAAGCUGUGCUAAUACCGCAUACGACCUGAGGGUGAAAGCGGGGGACCGUAAGGCCUCGCGCGAUAGGAGCGGCCGAUAUCGGAUUAGCUUGUUGGUGAGGUAAAGGCUCACCAAGGCGACGAUCCGUAGCUGGUCUGAGAGGACGACCAGCCACACUGGAACUGAGACACGGUCCAGACUCCUACGGGAGGCAGCAGUGGGGAAUUUUGGACAAUGGGGGGAACCCUGAUCCAGCCAUUCCGCGUGAGUGAAGAAGGCCUUCGGGUUGUAAAGCUC
rnacentral:rRNA from 1 species